GUGCCAGCAGCCGCGGUAAGACGAAGGUGGCUAGCGUUGUUCGGAAUCACUGGGCUUAAAGAGCACGUAGGCGGCCUGUUAAGCACUUUGUGAAAUCCCCCGGCUUAACCGGGGAAUUGCUUGGUGUACUGGCAGGCUUGAGGCAAGUAAGGGCGCGUGGAACUCUUGGUGGAGCGGUGAAAUGCGUAGAUAUCAAGAGGAACGCCGGAGGCGAAAGCGAUGCGCUGGGCUUGUCCUGACGCUGAGGUGCGAAAGCCAGGGGAGCAAACGGGAUUAGAAACCCUGGUAGUCC
rnacentral:rRNA from 1 species